ensembl:lncRNA
AUGGGAGCUGCUGAAGGACCUCUGGCAGUCUUGGGUGCCGGGCACACAGGGCUGGCGUGUGUGGAGGAGGUGGGUGAGAGCACGAGCCAAGCUGCUGCUGGGCCACCCUUCCUGGUGGUGAAGGAGGCAGAGGAGACCAUCAGGAGAGCCCUGGGAGACACAGCCUCGGGUCUCUGGCUAAGCCACCCUCAUCACUGUGAAGACCUGGCAGUGUGUUCACACAGGCAGCACACAAAUGCAGGACAUCACUCCGGGACAGGGUCUCCUCACAGAAAGAAGCCCGGAGCAGACAGGACCACAACAGCAGACAGAGAGGGGAGCCCAGGCACUUCCCCCUGACUCUGAAUCAGAAUCCACACAGGAACCUGGAAAUGUGUGGGGCUCAGCAGACUGCAGAGGGUGAGCAGGAAGCCUUUUCACACUCGUGGUCUAUCUCAGUGCUCGGCUGUGUGCAUCAGAACAUCACUGGGGCCCUAAGAUGGGCUGCCCGGGGCUGAGCUCUGGGAUGGGAAGGAACAAGGAGGACACGACCUCUGCUCUCACAGUGACCAGCCAUGGCCAGAAUCCUUCCCCCCAUGGGUGAAGAACACAGACUUUGGAACUGAUGAUUCCAAGCCUAUCUCAGAAAAACAAGCAAAGUGAUGUCUUGUGGGUCACAAGGGAGAUUUGCAAGGAACACCUGGCCUCUGGGGCAGCCCCUCCCUUUGCUUAGCUCAUCCCGCACUGGAACUGGCUCCCCUCCCACUUCUGCUGCAACUAGUGUGAAGCAGCUGCCCUGGCCAGGAGCUGUGAGGCUCCCUCCAGUUAAAUAGGAUUCUGGGAUAGAUCAACCUCGGCCAACACACACCAGCCCCAUGCACACAACUCCACCCCACAUAGAGAGAACGCGGCGGCUCCCAGGGACUGCAGAAUGUGCCCGUCUCUCCUUACCUGGAGCAACCACUUCACCACCACAGCCCAGGUCCUCAGUCACAACAGGAAGCUCCACUCCGGCUGCAUGUCUACAGGAAAGCCAGCGAGACGGUGACACAUUCCUCAUCACCUGGAUUCUUCAUUCACAUGGGAGGGAUUCCCCCAUACGUACCACUCUCCUGCUCUCUCCAGGCCUCCUGUAAUCACAGAAAACAUAUUGCUGUGAGCGCCAGACCAGGCUGUGUGCUGUGUGCACAGGCCUUUUCUUCACUUGGUGACAUUAGAAAACCAGAUGGGAAACAGUGCUCAAGUCCAAGGAACACAAAAGAACAGGACAAACCGACUCAUGCUACAGACACAGUUUCCUUGGAGUAUGUUUCCUCCAAGUCCAUGUGGCUUGGCAACCUAAGUAAUUUUGUUCCAAGGAGAGAAUCAAGCUGCUAAGGGAAAAGCUCACUGCCACACAGUGUGUGGCUGAUGCUGUCAUUUUAUCCUGCUAUUUAAAAUCAAGCCUCACUGGGGAACAGGCUCUCACUCAGAAUUCCCCUGACCAAGGACAACUGUAUAGGUCGUCUAUAAUACAUACUGUCAGAUUCUCAUCUCUUAGGCUCAUUCAGAAAGAUAAAGCUAGGAAAGCAACCGUAUUCCUCAAAUGCAGGGGGUCUGACCUUCACUUUCCAUGGGGCCUCCUUUUUCUUCUCCCUGAGGUGUUCCUCCAUUGGGUCCUCGGUGGAAUCUAGGAAGACAAAGUAUGACCAUCAGCAGGUGCAAGGGAGGAGCAGGAAGAACAGCUUUCUAGCCCCAGGUCGCCUCAGCAAGUGAACUAGCCCAUCUUGAACAGGGCACAGCACCCAGGGCAGGCUGGGCGUCCCUGCAGCCUCUCAGGGCUCCUGCCUCCUGAUCGGACCCAAGCUCACUUGCCCUCCCUUCCUGCGUCCUUCCAAGGUCAUUUCCUUCCUAGAAUUCACCUUCUGUGUGUAUCUGUCAUCUAGAAUAUUUUAUACUUGGUAAAAAGAAACCUUUGUCUAGGAAGAAUAUUUCAUUCUAGCCAAAAUAUUCUAUAUAUUCACUAAUCUUUUGUUUUAAAGACAAUAAAACAAAGCUUUGAAAAUAGUAAGUUAUUCUUUCUUUUAAAGAUAACUCCUACUUAACAACUGCUAUCUGUCCUGGCACUCAGCCUUCUCAAUGCAAUGUGUGUGUGUGGGUCGGGAGUCCGUUGCUGCUCACACGCACAGGGGCUCUGACGCUGGGACAGUCCAUCAUGGGACAGCAGGUGGGGGUGCGGACCCUCCCCAACCCAGCCGUGCGGGGAGAUGGGUGGUAGGCUAACACCCAAGUUGUUCCUUGAGACCAUAUUCGGUGCUGGGUCUUCACUGUGUUUACUCCUCAACUAAAGCAUUUAUUUUUCCUCUUUAUUAUUAUUUUUUUGAUAGACGGUCUCUGUCACCCAAGCUGGACGGUAGUAACUUGAUCUCUGCUCACUGGAACCUGCGCCUUCUGGGCUCAAGUGAUCCUCCCCACUCAACCUCCGAGGUAGCUGGGACUAUAGGUGCACCACCACACACAGCUGAUUAUUUUUAGUAGAUAUGGGUUUUUGCCACGUUGCCUAGGCUGACCUCCACCUCCUGGACUCAAGCCAUCCUCUUGCCUCAGCCUCCUGAAGUGCUAGGUUUAUAGCCGUGAGCCACCCACCUGGCCAACUGGAGCAUUUCUGAGGCUUGUGAUGAUCCUGUUAUUAAACACAAUAGAGCAUGUCCCUGAUUAUUCUCUGCUUUUGACCACGAACUGAGAAAUGACCCCACCACUGCUGCCGAAAGCCUGUGAACCCUCUGUGUGUUUCACAUUAAUGAUCACACCAAAGUCCAUUGGAAAAUGUAACUAUUCCUACCCUGGGUUAGGGAACCUUUGAGACCUCCCUACACCGACAGUGUUUGGGGCCUGUCUAGGCUCUCAUCCUUCCACACACAGACAGAUGCCGGAAUUCCCUGGCAUGACAAGUUAUACCAGGGCUGGCUGGUGAGUGCACAACAGUAGCCCAUUGCAUCAACCCUCCAUCCAUUCCUGAGUUCACAUUCGCCUCUUCCAUUUAGGAGAUCGAGAGCCUGGGAAAUUCAUCUCUGCACCGUCUCUAUCUGAGGAUGAGGAUAUAAAAUUUACCUUCAGGUACAGCUGUGUGAGAGGAUGAUGCGUUAAUUUAUGUGAAGUGUGCAGUGGUGAUACAAUUUUUUAGGAAAAGUGCUCCUUGGGUUGUGCUCUGCACAGGGGAACAUGCUUUCUGGGGAAACGCCCACACACUCCCAAGAUGUUCCCAAUCGCUCCACACAACUCUCUCCUCCGUACCUCCCCACCCUGAUGCACACCACACUGUUCCAUCUACAUGACAAUCCUGCCUCCCCGGACUCGAGUGGACGGUCACAGUUCUUUACUGGACUCAGCGUUUUUAACACCAAACUGUCCAAACCUCAUUUCUGUCAGGGAGCUCAAAACCAAAGUGGCUCUCCAGCAAAAGCAGACUAGGAAGUGCCACCUUUUGCAACCCUGAAGAUCUUUCCUUAGAAAAGAGUGCUUCCAGAAUACACACCUUUUUCUUUGGCGCGUUUGUCAGCCUGCAUUUAGAGAAAGAAACUGUGAGCUUCAGACCAUCCUGCGUCCUGUGUGCACAGGUCUUUUCUUCACUUGGUGACAUUAGAAAACCAGAUGGGAAACAGUGUUCAAAGGAACACAGAAGAACAGGACAAACCGACUCAUGCUGAAGUUUCUCCUGGAGGAUGUUUCCUCUCAAGGUCAUGUUGCUUGGCAAUUAAGUGAUUUUGCCCCAAGGAGAAAAGCUACUAAGGGAAAAGCUCACUGCCACUCAGGGCGUGGCUGAUGCUGUCAUUUUCUCUUGCUGCCUUAAAUCAAGCCUCAGUGGGGGACGGACUCACUCAGAAUUCCCCCCACCAAGGACACUCCCCAUUUAAGUCACCUAUGAUACAUACGAUCAUAUGUUGUUUUAAUUCAGUAAGAUAAAGCUAAGAAAGUAACUUUCAGAU